ACAGGAUUAGAUACCCGGGUAGUCCACGCCGUAAACGAUGUCGGCUUGGAGGCUGUUCCCUUGAGGAGUGGCUUCCGGAGCUAACGCGUUAAGUCGACCGCCUGGGGAGUACGGCCGCAAGGUUAAAACUCAAAUGAAUUGACGGGGGCCCGCACAAGCGGUGGAGCAUGUGGUUUAACUCGAUGCAACGCGAAGAACCUUACCUGGCCUUGACAUCCACGGAACUUGGCAGAGAUGCCUUGGUGCCUUCGGGAACCGUGAGACAGGUGCUGCAUGGCUGUCGUCAGCUCGUGUUGUGAAAUGUUGGGUUAAGUCCCGCAACGAGCGCAACCCUUAUCCUUUGUUGCCAGCGAUUCGGUCGGGAACUCAAAGGAGACUGCCGGUGAUAAACCGGAGGAAGGUGGGGAUGACGUCAAGUCAUCAUGGCCCUUACGGCCAGGGCUACACACGUGCUACAAUGGCGCAUACAAAGAGAAGCGACCUCGCGAGAGCAAGCGGACCUCAUAAAGUGCGUCGUAGUCCGGAUCGGAGUCUGCAACUCGACUCCGUGAAGUCGGAAUCGCUAGUAAUCGUGGAUCAGAACGCCACGGUGAAUACGUUCCCGGGCCUUGUACACACCGCCCGUCACACCAUGGGAGUGGGUUGCAAAAGAAGUAGGUAGCUUAACCUUCGGGAGGGCGCUUACCACUUUGUGAUUCAUGACUGGGGUGAAGUCGUAACAAGGUAAC
rnacentral:rRNA from 1 species